UUAUGGCCAUAUCACAUUGAAACACCAGUACUCAUCCAAUGACCAAAGUUAAGCAAUGUUGAGCCUGGUCAGUACUUCGAUGGGUGACUGCUGGAGAAUACCAGGUAUUGUUA